rnacentral:misc_RNA from 1 species
ACAAAGGGUAAGCUAAUUCCUGCGACAGCUAUGCUUAAAGCCUUGUUUCCUGUAUGACGAAGGGACUUCAGGUCUAACUCAAGGCCAACAAGGAACAGAAAGAAAAGAAGCCCAAGAUUGGCUAAAGUAUCUAACACUGUGAGACUUCUCGCUGGGAAAAUACUAUUCAGAUAGUGCGUGUUUCGACCCAGAGCUGAUGGUCCCAGCAGUAUGCCUCCAACAAUCUCAGCGAUGACACGCGGCUGUCGCAAUGGCUUUAAAAGUAAAGCAAGAAUACGAGUGAGCACAAUCACUAGGACAAUCUGUAUGAUGGCAAGAGGCAGUGAAUAAUCAAGAGGAUUAUCCCCCUGGAAGACCCCAUUGGAUGUAGCCUUCAUGGGUUUGGGACAUGAUGCUGCUGUUGCAUUGGAAGCCAUUUUUUUUCUUCUUUUAAAUCACCAAGAAACACAGAAAUUCACUGAAAUUGGUGUGUAUACAAGCAAAUGGCAUGCGAUCUCUGCAAUCAAGUUUGUUUUCUGUUCAUCACACUCUUUGUUCCUUGUUUAAAAAGUCAAAGAAGAAGAAGAAACGGAAAGAUUUGUGGACAUGGAGGAUCGUUGAAGAAGAUGAGCGGAAUGGCAUUCGGAUGAGAAACUGGAUCUCAACAUUUAUGGGACCGCGUAAUCGGCCAAUACCGCGUGUGCCAGUGUGUUCCCGUUCUCAAAAUUACACCGCUACCCACCCA